AUUGAACGCUGGCGGCAGGCCUAACACAUGCAAGUCGAGCGGAUGAAGGGAGCUUGCUCCUGGAUUCAGCGGCGGACGGGUGAGUAAUGCCUAGGAAUCUGCCUGGUAGUGGGGGAUAACGUCCGGAAACGGGCGCUAAUACCGCAUACGUCCUGAGGGAGAAAGUGGGGGAUCUUCGGACCUCACGCUAUCAGAUGAGCCUAGGUCGGAUUAGCUAGUUGGUGGGGUAAAGGCCUACCAAGGCGACGAUCCGUAACUGGUCUGAGAGGAUGAUCAGUCACACUGGAACUGAGACAAGGUCCAGACUCCUACGGGAGGAAGCAGUGGGGAAUAUUGGACAAUGGGCGAAAGCCUGAUCCAGCCAUGCCGCGUGUGUGAAGAAGGUCUUCGGAUUGUAAAGAACUUUAAGUUGGGAGGAAGGGCAGUAAGUUAAUACCUUGCUGUGUUGACGGUACCAACAGAAUAAGCACCGGCUAACUUCGUG
rnacentral:rRNA from 1 species